UGUACAGCAGGCGGUGCUCAGUGCUCGGCUCGCGCAUGUGCGAGUGUUUAGCAGGCGUGGAGCCGCAUUAAAGCGCAGAGUGCCGCGCGGACGCGGUCAGUGUCUGUCUGCUCCCUGCACGGAGAGACAGCUCGAGCGAUGGAGAACUCGGCUGUCAACAACCGCUUCAGGACUGCGCUCUUCAGCCACGAGGAUGAGUGUCCUCAGUUCAGCGGGCGUGUUGGAAACACCCAGCAGUUCCUCCCAGAACCUCUCAAACCUGUGCACCCAGUACAGCCGCGGCUUUAAAUACUACAUCAACAAAAGCGUCUAUAGUGCAGGCUUUGAGUGAUGACGUCACGCCUCAGCAUCUCUCCACCCUCCUCCAGACUUUCACUCAACUCCUACACUCAACUGUAAAAACAAUUGCCAGGAAUUUACAGGAUUAAAGAGUAUUAUUUUACAAUAAAUUACUGUGAAAUCAAUGCAUGCGGAGUCUUACAAAUGACAGCAGAAC